GUGCCAGCAGCCGCGGUAAGACGGAGGAUGCAAGUGUUAUCCGGAAUCACUGGGCGUAAAGCGUCUGUAGGUGGUUUAAUAAGUCAACUGUUAAAUCUUAAGGCUCAACCUUGAAAUCGCAGUCGAAACUAUUAGACUAGAGUAUAGUAGGGGUAAAGGGAAUUUCCAGUGGAGCGGUGAAAUGCGUAGAUAUUGGAAAGAACACCGAUGGCGAAGGCACUUUACUGGGCUAUUACUAACACUCAGAGACGAAAGCUAGGGUAGCAAAUGGGAUUAGAUACCCCAGUAGUCCUAGCCGUAAACAAUGGAUACUAGAUGUUGAACAGAUCGACCUGUGCAGUAUCAAAGCUAACGCGUUAAGUAUCCCGCCUGGGAAGUAUGCUCGCAAGAGUGAAACUCAAAUGAAUUGGCGG
rnacentral:rRNA from 1 species